rnacentral:rRNA from 1 species
UACGGAGGGUGCAAGCGUUAUCCGGAUUCACUGGGUUUAAAGGGUGCGUAGGUGGGCAGGUAAGUCAGUGGUGAAAUCUCUGGGCUUAACUCAGAAACUGCCAUUGAUACUAUCUGUCUUGAAUACCGUGGAGGUCAGCGGAAUAUGUCAUGUAGCGGUGAAAUGCUUAGAUAUGACAUAGAACACCAAUUGCGAAGGCAGCUGGCUACACAAUUAUUGACACUGAGGCACGAAAGCGUGGGGAUCAAACAGG